rnacentral:rRNA from 1 species
UACGGAGGAGGCACGCGUUGUCCGGAAUUAUUGGGCGUAAAGAGCUCGUAGGCGGUUUGUUGCGUCGGCUGUGAAAUCCCGAGGCUCAACCUCGGGUCUGCAGUCGAUACGAGCAAACUAGAGUGUUGCAGGGGAGACUGGAAUUCCUGGUGUAGCGGUGAAAUGCGCAGAUAUCAGGAGGAACACCGGUGGCGAAGGCGGGUCUCUGGGCAACAACUGACGCUGAGGAGCGAAAGCGUGGGGAGCGAACAGG